ACCGAAUCGAAAUUUGUUUCUCCUGAUUAUGAUACACAUAAAGUUUAUGAUAAUUCUCCAAUAAAUUCUUUAACGAUUAGUGGAUUUAGUGCGCGUAACAUUGAUACUUUUGGAAAAGAAAGAAAUAAAAUAUAUUCAUUCAAUACACCAACUGAUAUUAAAAGAAAUAUAUAUUUUAAUAAUUUAAUGCGAAUAUCUUCAUGCUGUAAUCAUUAUUUAUUUCCAAAUUUACUGUUUCUUUUAAAUCUACAUACAUUGCAAAUUUUAAUACGCGAUAAAACCGCAAUUGAAACUGAUUAUGUGAUUGAUAAAUUUGAUAAACUCCGAGAAAAACUAAUUCAAACAAAUAUAGAUCAUGCUGAAAAAAAAGGAAAAUAUACUCAUAAUAGUGAUACUACUGCUACUAUUUCCGAUACUUUAACAAACAAAACAUAUGAUAACGCAACUAAUAAAACCAAUACUUAUGCAGAAACAGAUAAAAACGCAGACCAAACAAAACAAAAAAGUGUUGACGAUUAUGACGAAAUGGACAAAGAAAUAUUAAAGCACUUAACUCAUAAAAAAAGUUUGUUUGAUAGCCAAAUGCAAGUUUUUAAAAAGAAAUACGACGAAAAGAAUAUUUUACAAGAUUAUGAAUUUAUUAAUUUAUGGAAAUAUAAUAAUAACGCAAAUAUAGUAGAAACAUUAAAUAAUAUACCAUUACCAAAAAUUUAUAUAAAUAUUGAUGAUCCAAAGUAUUGUCUUUGGAAAAUUUUACAACACUCAGGAAUGACAGCAUUUUCAGAAAUACCAACUCCUAACAGAAAAUUAGAGGCAUGGCGACAACAAAUAAAUUUAAAACAAUUUUAUAAACAAAACUUCGACACUAGCAUAAGUUUAAAAACAUAUUCAAAAAAAGACAUACAUCAGUAUCAAAUGAAAAUAUUAAAUAAGCCUUAUGACAAAAACAAAACUGUUAGUACGAUUAAUGCAGGCCAAAAUCAGCAUCAAACGCAGGAACGGGAACAGGAACAGGAACAGGAGCAACAGCAAGAGGAAGAUUAUUUAUAUAAUUAUAACAACAACCAUAACUACGGCCAUAACAACGACCAUAACAACGAGCAAAAUACAGAUUCAUUUCCACAACAUGAACAUGAACACGAACAACCAAAUUUAUAUACCAAACCGAAUAUAACUGACAAUAUUUUAACAAACGAACAAAAUAAUGUAGAAAAAUUAAAUAAGAAUUUAUUAGAAAAUGAUGUAAAAAACCAAAGCUUGGAAAAAAACUAUUCACAAAACGAAAACAAUAUCUUACACGAUGCUACAUAUAAUGUAACACAACAAAUUAAUAAUUGCAAAAAUAAUUACAAAAAAGCAUUUUAUACGUUAGUUGUUAGAGAUGGGAUCGUUGAUGAAACGUUAUCUGAUGACAUAAGUAUUUUAAAAGCAUUAGACAAUGAACUGCACAAAAAGGAAAAUAAUAAAAAUAUACAAAAUAAAACUGACUCUAAUUUGGGACAUGAUGAGGUAGUUAAUGAUAAUAACACUAAUAGUGAUAACCAAGCGAGUACCAACAAUGUAGAUGAAGAAAAUAACAUAAAAAAAAGUAAAAUAUUUGUAGGUGGUUUUUUUAAUAUUGAAGAUCCUGAAAUAGAAUAUUUAGUUAAUAAAGAAUUAUAUUUUAUACCAGAACAUUCAAAUUGGUAUAAAAAAAAUACUCAACCAUUUGUUAGAGGUCAGGUAGGUAAACAAUCACGAAAAUUUGAUAAUGAUUAUCCAAUAUAUGAUUACAGAAAAAGCGAUUUUGGUAUGGCUAAAUUUUCAGCCUUAAAUUUAGCCUCAAUUAAAGAUUGUGCAGUUGUUUACUUAGAUAAAGAUAUCGAUUUGAGCGACAAAUAUAUUCAUAUUAUAUUUUUAUCAACGUCAAAAAACGAAGAUGAUAAUUUAAAAACAGAAACAACAAAU
rnacentral:lncRNA from 1 species